AUCGUUUCUCGGCCUUUUGGCCAAGAUCAAGUGUAGAAGUGUGUUGUUUAAUUUCCAAAUAUUUGGACAUAUUUGGGGAAUUAAACUUGACUUAAAAUUGAGUUAAACUUGAAGUCAAUAAUACAUAGUUGGAAAAUCCCCAACUAUGUAUUAUUGACUUCAA
rfam:Gorilla gorilla gorilla genomic chromosome, chr10, whole genome shotgun sequence